rnacentral:rRNA from 1 species
UACAGAGGUGGCAAGCGUUGUUCGGAAUUACUGGGCGUAAAGGGCGUGUAGGCGGCCUUCUAGGUCAGACGUGAAAUCCCCCGGCUUAACCUGGGAACUGCGUCUGAUACUGGAUGGCUUGAAUUCGGGAGAGGGAUGCAGAAUUCCAGGUGUAGCGGUGAAAUGCGUAGAUAUCUGGAGGAAUACCGGUGGCGAAGGCGGCAUCCUGGACCGACAUUGACGCUGAGGAGCGAAAGCUAGGGGAGCAAACGGG